rnacentral:rRNA from 1 species
AGUUUGAUCCUGGCUCAGAACGAACGCUGGCGGCAGGCUUAACACAUGCAAGUCGAACGCAUCGCAAGAUGAGUGGCAGACGGGUGAGUAACGCGUGGGAACAUACCCUUUUCUACGGAAUAGCUCUGGGAAACUGGAAUUAAUACCGUAUACGCCCUACGGGGGAAAGAUUUAUCGGGGAAGGAUUGGCCCGCGUUGGAUUAGCUAGUUGGUGGGGUAAAGGCCUACCAAGGCGACGAUCCAUAGCUGGUCUGAGAGGAUGAUCAGCCACAUUGGGACUGAGACACGGCCCAAACUCCUACGGGAGGCAGCAGUGGGGAAUAUUGGACAAUGGGCGCAAGCCUGAUCCAGCCAUGCCGCGUGAGUGAUGAAGGCCUUAGGGUUGUAAAGCUCUUUCACCGGUGAAGAUAAUGACGGUAACCGGAGAAGAAGCCCCGGCUAACUUCGUGCCAGCAGCCGCGGUAA